ensembl:lncRNA
CUGGGAGAUGCUGUGUAUAUCUAGGCGAAAGCAAAAGCACUUUAUUUGGCCUUCUGAAAGUAGAUGCAUUUAGGAAUCUUUAAGAUUACCUACAACAGAACAGCAAUGCACCGUGGAUGACCGUUUUGUGAACCUAGGAGAGGAGGUAAUUCUGACUUUGCUACGACAAUAUGGCACUUCUGAAUCAGCUACUCAUGGUUGAAGCCAUUGGCACCAAAACAAACCUGGAGCACCAUGAAGCACCGUGACAGAACACCGGACCAAGCAAAGUAUGAACUGGGCUGAGGAGUUAAUUUGGAACAUUCAGCAGGAUGGAUGGCCUUUGGAACAAUAUGUGGAGGAGGUCCUGAGUGUUGUACAUCUGAGCCCGCUCGCUCCAUUCCACCCAUGCUUCCCCAAGUUCUCCCAAGUUCGGCUUCAGUUCUCAGCCCAGAUACAGUGACAGCUCCACUGUCAAGCCCACCGGCUGAUUCACUCCCAAGCCCUAUGAUGACAGCAGCUAUCUCCUUCACCUCAGCCCAAAAGAGGAGAAUGAGGAGAAAGAGACAGAUGGCUCGAGCGCCAGACCAGAGUCGAGAGAUGGCUCGAGCGCCAGACCAGAGUCGAGAGAUGGCUCGAGCGCCAGACCAGAGUCGAGAGAUGGCUCAAGCGCCAGACCAGAGUCGAGAGAUGGCUCGAGCGCCAGACCUCGCUGUUCUCGUGUCCAGCCCAGGGAGGGCCUCAGAUCCCAGGUCAGGCCCAGGAGAGCCUCCUGUUCCCACGUCAAGCCCAGAGAGGGCCUCGGAUCACGAGUCUAGCUCAGAGAGGGCUCUAGAUUCCACGUCAAGCACAGAAAGGGCUUCUGUCCUCACGUCUGGCCCAGUGAGGGCUGUUGUUCCUAUGUCCGGCCCAUGGAGGGCCUCAGAUCCUGAGUCUAGCCCAGAGAGGGCUCCUGUUCCUACGUCAAGCCCAGAGAGGGCUGUUAUUUUAGCCUCUGGCCCAGGGAGGGCCUCAGAAACCAAAACUAACCCAGAGAGGGCUCCUGUUUCCACGUCAAGCC